GAAACGACUGCUAAGACUGGAUAGGAAGAUAAAAGGCAUCUUGUAUCUUUUAAAAGACCUAGUUAAUAGGUAUGCUUUAGGAGGGGCUUGCGCCAUAUUAGUUAGUUGGUAGGGUAAUGGCCUACCAAGACGAUGAUGUGUAGCUGGACUGAGAGGUUGAACAGCCACAUUGGGACUGAGACACGGCCCAAACUCCUACGGGAGGCAGCAGUAGGGAAUUUUCGGCAAUGGAGGAAACUCUGACCGAGCAACGCCGCGUGAAUGACGAAGUACUUCGGUAUGUAAAGUUCUUUUAUCGAGGAAGAAAAGCAAAUGGCGAACCAUUUGUUUGCCGGUACUUGAUGAAUAAGCCCCGGCUAAUUAUGUGCCAGCAGCCGCGGUAAGACAUAAGGGGCAAGUGUUAUCCGGAAUUAUUGGGCGUAAAGGGUGCGUAGGCGGUCUAGUAAGUCAGUGGUGUAAUGUCAACGCUUAACGUUGUCCGGCUAUUGAAACUGCUAAACUUGAGAUAGAUAGAGGCGAGUGGAAUUCCAUGUGUAGCGGUAAAAUGCGUAAAAAUAUGGAGGAACACCAGAGGCGUAGGCGGCUCGCUGGGUCUUAACUGACGCUGAGGCACGAAAGCGUGGGGAGCAAACAGGAUUAGAUACCCUGGUAGUCCACGCCGUAAACGAUGAGUACUAAGUGUCGGGUUAAACCGGUACUGAAGUUAACACAUUAAGUACUCCGCCUGAGUAGUUCGUACGCAAGUAUGAAACUUAAAGGAAUUGACGGGACUCCGCACAAGCGGUGGAUCAUGUUGUUUAAUUCGAAGAUACCCGAAAAACCUUACCAGGUCUUGACAUGUUUUUGCAAAAUGAUAGUAAUAUCGUGGAGGUUACCAGAAACACAGGUGGUGCAUGGUUGUCGUCAGCUCGUGUCGUGAGAUGUUAGGUUAAGUCCUAAAACGAGCGAAACCCUUAUCGUUAGUUGCCAGCACGUUAUGGUGGGGACUUUAACGAGACUGCCAAUGAUAAAUUGGAGGAAGGUGAGGAUCACGUCAAAUCAGCAUGCCCCUUAUGACCUGGGCUACAAACGUGAUACAAUGGCUGUUACAAAGGGUAGCUGAAACGCAAGUUCUUGGCCAAUCCCCAAAAACAGUCCCAGUCCGGAUUGAAGUCUGCAACUCGACUUCAUGAAGUUGGAAUCGCUAGUAAUCGCGAAUCAGCAUGUCGCGGUGAAUACGUUCUCGGGGUUUGUACACACCGCCCGUCA
rnacentral:rRNA from 1 species